rnacentral:rRNA from 1 species
UACAGAGGGUGCAAGCGUUAAUCGGACUUACUGGGCGUAAAGGGUGCGUAGGCGGGAGCUUAAGUUAGUUGUGAAAGGCCUGGGCUUAACCUAGGAACUGCAAUUAAGACUGGGCAUCUAGAGUUGAGUAGAGGGGAGCGGAAUUUCCGGUGUAGCGGUGAAAUGCGUAGAUAUCCGGAGGAACACCGGUGGCGAAGGCGGCUUCCUGGACCGACACUGACGCUGAGGCGCGAAAGCUAAGGGAGCAAACGGG